rnacentral:lncRNA from 1 species
UGGUUUCUUAGUCUGUUUGAUGGUCAGUGACACGUUUCUGUGGCGACUUAACUGAUACUAGAGGCAUUCUAACAUGGACCACAGGGAAGGCAGCUUGCUCAUAGAAUAAGCCUCUGGUUUUUGUCUUGUUAAUGUUAGAUUUAGCCAAACAGAUUGAAAUACUUCUGUGACUUUAGUAGUGAAGACUUUAUUGUCUGUGGUGGGAUGACUUGAGGCUAUAAAUAAGGUUGUCAUGUCUGAUGCUGGCUUGCUCUGGGGGAUGACCCAGCUAGUUCAUUAUGAGGUAUGAGGGAGAAAGUAAGUACUGAAAUAAACGCCUGUGGUGAGGAACAAUCUCUAUUUUUACUUUAGGAAUGAUGCUUUGAGUUAAUAUAAUAGGAAAUGAAGUAUUUCCUGAUUAUUAGGCAGGCGCCUGACUUCAGGCAGUGAAUAAACUGCAGCUGGAAUUUACAUGGAUGAAAUAUUGCAGGAUCCUGAGAUACUUCUGAAUUCUCAGUUGGUUCCUAGUUCUUUGGCUUGCUGCCAGUCAGAAGGAGUUUUUCACUUUCCUAUACCCUUAGCUGAAAUUUGAGAUGGUUUGAGCUAUGUACAGAAAUUUGUCAGUUUUUAUAAUCUUUAUUAACUAGUAGUUGUUCUGUACUUUUUUGAGCCCUGUGUGGGUGUUCCCUGACUCUUCUGAGACAUUAAGUUUUAUCUACAG